rnacentral:misc_RNA from 1 species
GCAAACUUGGUCAUUUAGAGGAAGUAAAAGUCGUAACAAGGUUUCCGUAGGUGAACCUGCGGAAGGAUCAUUAACGAGUACGGGUCCUCCGGGGCCCCAACUCCCACCCCAUGUUGUCGCGAACUACGUUGCCUCGGCGGGCCCGCCCAACCAGUUGGGCCCCCCGGUUCUCAGGACCGGGGCCGCGCCCGUCGAAGGUCCAAACACUCAACUCUUUGUCUUGACAGUGAAGUCUGAGCAAAAAUUCUUAAUGAAUCAAAACUUUCAACAACGGAUCUCUUGGUUCUGGCAUCGAUGAAGAACGCAGC